rnacentral:rRNA from 1 species
GAUGAACGCUGGCGGCGUGCCUAAUACAUGCAAGUCGAGCGAACAGACGAGGAGCUUGCUCCUCUGACGUUAGUGGCGGACGGGUGAGUAACACGUGGAUAACCUACCUAUAAGACUGGGAUAACUUCGGGAAACCGGAGCUAAUACCGGAUAAUAUGUUGAAUCGCAUGGUUCAACAGUGAAAGACGGUCUUGCUGUCACUUAUAGAUGGAUCCGCGCCGCAUUAGCUAGUUGGUAAGGUAACGGCUUACCAAGGCAACGAUGCGUAGCCGACCUGAGAGGGUGAUCGGCCACACUGGAACUGAGACACGGUCCAGACUCCUACGGGAGGCAGCAGUAGGGAAUCUUCAGCAAUGGGCGAAAGCCUGACGGAGCAACGCCGCGUGAGUGAAGAAGGUCUUCGGAUCGUAAAACUCUGUUAUUAGGGAAGAACAAAUGUGUAAGUAACUAUGCACGUCUUGACGGUACCUAAUCAGAAAGCCACGGCUAACUACGUG